UUCUGCCGCUCGUGCUGGGCGUGGCAGCACUCGGGGCCGGGCGCGGGGGAGGAGCACCGCCCGCUCAUGCGCAGCUCCGCGCACAAGGCGCCGCCACCGCCGCCGCGCGACGACUUCAUGUACACAGCCGGCACGCCGUCGCCAGCGACGUCGGGCACGUCCGGCACGUCCGGCACGUCGGGCACGUCGGGGUCCGGCGCGUCGGCCGGCGACGAGCCCGCGCUGCCGGACUACCGCCGCCGCCGCCGCCGCGACUAGUCGCAGCGCGCCGCAGUCUCAACGCCGUUCCAGACACUGCUACAACUGCACUCCACACGUUUAGGGAUAACGAUAAGUCUACGUUUUUGUAGCCCAGAUAUUAAAAUGACUGUUCGGAUGACCAAUAUACUUGUACAAUAUUUUGUAUUAAAAUGACAGCUCGGAAUAACUGUGCCAAACGGUCAUUUGAGUAUCUGGGAUAUAUGAGCGCUUGCUGUAUCAUAUACACGGUGGCUAAAAAAAAUAGGUGCAUUCCCGUUGCCAGGGAGGUUUUGGGAUUAUACUGAGCAACUUUCACUAUGGGACCAACCCCGAAAUCGCGAAAAAAUUUUUCGCUGUUUUAUACAUUUUGGCUGGUCCAUUUUCUAUGGGAGGGUAAAAGUUGCUCAGUGUAAUCCCAAAACCUCCCUGGCAACGGGAAUGACUUAUUUUGUAGCCAGCCUAUAUAUCUACAAACGAGCCGCUUCGUAAGGAAAUUGUCGCGCGAAGCAGCUCGGUCUGCGUAGACGUGCCUCGCCCGAGGCAAUGCGGCCCAGACCGAACUACUUCGCGGCAAUUUCCUCGCGAGGCGACUCGUUCUGUGUAGACCCGUCUUAGGGUUACUACAUACAGCGCUCGUUUUGCUCUAAUUUUAUCCCUUUGUGCUACAAAUUCCUAUAUUCACGUUAAGAACAUCCAAGGACACUGUUCCGACAAUGAUAUUGUUUCAUUGGUGUUCUUAAGAGUGAUAAUAGGGCAAAACGCGCAGUGUAACUACUAAUAUGAAAACGAAACCCUCGAUAAUUGCCAAACUAAAGAUGCUGCUAAAGCCACGUGACUUCAAAACAUUGACCAUUCUUUAUUUUAAAACGUAGUGAAAAUCAACGCAAGUUUGGAAUCUUGUCAAAUAAAAUCACUUUCGUUUUCAUUCUAGUGGGACGGAAUGUAAGUUGUAUAAAAGUGCUACACUAUGCAAAUACGGUACAAUGUUACCUUAUGUACCCUAAAUGACAAAUGAGAUCCACAGUCCUACAAUUUUUCUCGCAUAUUUCAGUUUUAAAGUUUUAUUUGUACCAUAAUAGCUUCGUAAUCUUCACGAAUACGAAACUUAUUAGUGUUUGGUAAAUUUUAAACUGUUUAAUAGAUUUUAAAGUUUUUUUUGGUUACCUUACUAUCCCAUAGCGUUAUUUGAUCAUAGGAUAGGUAUAAAGUUUUAAGAAAAAUUGCCCCGAGUUCGUCAGAUGAAGUAGAUGGCGCUCUACGGCGCCAAGUUUGUUUCUUAAGCUUUAUAGCUAUUUUAUUAUGUUUAAUGUCUGCUGUACCUUACAAAAUUAUUAAGUAAAUUGUCUUGAAUUUUAACGUUUUAAAGUUUUUACCGUAUUUGAGAGGGAGUGUGGGGCGUGUGGAGGUUUCGCGGGCGCAAUGUUGUAGACGCUAUUAAGUUGGGCGCUUCGCCAGCAUUUACUGUUGAUUUAGUUGAUUUUUAAUUAUUUUGAAAUGUAGCCGAUGGGUCAUUAUCCGCAUUUCUUGAAAUGAACCGUCUACCUUUUGAUGCUUGAUAGAAAUACGGAUAUGCAGUCACGGCAGCAAUUGCAACCGAAUGCACUUAAUGAGUUAUUUCGUAUUUGAAGGGAAAAGUGCACCUCGCCCUUGAAAUAUUAUUGUAUAGCAUUUACUUCAGGUUGCAAUUUGCAGCCAAGAAAUCGGCUAUGUUUCUUUUUGGCUGAAGUUUCAACCGUUUGUUUAUCUCUUAGUCAAAUCGUUGAAAGUCCAGCCACACAGAAGUUACAUAAUAUGUAUCAUUUAUUUACCGUUGAUUAUUUUGUUAAUUUUUCUAUGUACGAGUAAUCUUAAGCCAAUACGCCUUUCGCGUAGGAAUGUUCCUUAGACAAUUUUACAUACAGUGCCUAAAUAGACGUAGGAUUUUACGGUUUUUAAUGUGCCUGUAGCCCAGUUUUAACGUUUUAAAGGGCCUUCAAAUAUUCGGUCGAAUUUGGAAUUUUUAUAGUGUUUUAGAUCGUCGAAUCAUGAAAUGUUGAUUUUAACUUUGCUUUUUGAUUUUUAAAAGUAUACAAUUAAACUGUUAUUGCAAAUAAACUAUUUAAAUAAUGAA